rnacentral:rRNA from 1 species
CGGUAUUUUGACCGUGCAAAGGUAGCGCAAUCACUUGUCUUUUAAAUGAAGACCCGUAUGAAUGGCAUAACGAGGGCUUAACUGUCUCCUCUUUCCAGUCAAUGAAAUUGAUCUCCCCGUGCAGAAGCGGGGAUAAAAACAUAAGACGAGAAGACCCUAUGGAGCUUCAGACACUAAAGCAGCCCACGUUAAACACCCCCAACAAGGAACUAAACCACAGUGGCCCCCGCCCUAAUGUCUUUGGUUGGGGCGACCGCGGGGAAUUAAAGAACCCCCACGUGGAGCGGGAAUACUUUUCCUACAACUAAGAGCUACAGCUCUAGCAAACAGAACUUCUGACCAACAAGAUCCGGCAAAGCCGAUCAACGGACCGAGUUACCCUAGGGAUAACAGCGCAAUCCUCUUUUAGAGCCCAUAUCGACAAGGGGGUUUACGACCUCGAUGUUGGAUCAGGACAUCCUAAU